CAAAGGGACAGUGAACAGUGGGCAGAUCCAUACGCCCUAUUGCUCCAUCACAGAUUGAUCCAAAUGGAGCUCUAUUCAACUGCACUGGCCGCACAAUUGAUCCCGGCCUCUCUGCUGCGACUUCAAGGGCACUGGUCAUCAGCACUGACACAAACAAAGCUGUGCGAGCACCAACACAUUUAUUCCUGGCACAGACACA